AUUGAACGCUGGCGGCAUGCCUUACACAUGCAAGUCGAACGGCAGCACGGACUUCAGUCUGGUGGCGAGUGGCGAACGGGUGAGUAAUGUAUCGGAACGUACCUUUCAGUGGGGGAUAACGUAGCGAAAGUUACGCUAAUACCGCAUAUUCUGUGAGCAGGAAAGCAGGGGAUCGCAAGACCUUGCGCUGAUUGAGCGGCCGAUAUCAGAUUAGCUAGUUGGUGAGGUAAAGGCUCACCAAGGCGACGAUCUGUAGCGGGUCUGAGAGGAUGAUCCGCCACACUGGAACUGAGACACGGUCCAGACUCCUACGGGAGGCAGCAGUGGGGAAUUUUGGACAAUGGGGGCAACCCUGAUCCAGCCAUGCCGCGUGAGUGAAGAAGGCC
rnacentral:rRNA from 1 species